rnacentral:rRNA from 1 species
UGGGUUGGUAAAUCUCGUGCCAGCAACCGCGGUUAUACGAGAGGCUCAAAUUGAUAAUUCACGGCGUAAAGGGUGACUAAAUAGUAAAAUUUAACUAAGGCCGAAUAUCUCCUGUACUGUCAUACGUUAACAGAGACAAGAAGCCCCACAACGAAAGUGGCCUUAAAUAUAUUGAACUCACGAGUAUUAAGAAACAAACUGGGAUUAGAUACCCCACUAUGCUUAAUAGUAAACAAAGAUGGUAAAACUACAAAAACCGUCCGCCAGGGAACUACGAGCAUCAGCUUAAAACCCAAAGGACCUGGCGGUGCCUCACACCCACCUAGAGGAGCCUGUUCUAUAACCGAUACCCCCCGUUAAACCUCACCACCCCUUGUUUUAUUCAGCCUAUAUACCGCCGUCGCCAGCCUACCCCGUGAGGGUACAACAGUAAGCAAAAUAGAAAAUUCCAAAUACGUCAGGUCAAGGUGUAGCAAAUGGAGUGGAAAGAAAUGGGCUACAUUUUCUGACCCAGAAUAUUACGAAAAAUGCAAUGAAAAAGCAUAAUGAAGGUGGAUUUAGCAGUAAAAAGAAAGUAGAGAGUUCUUUUGAAGACGGCUCUGAGGCGCGUACACACCGCCCGUCACCCUCCUA